UACGUAGGGUGCAAGCGUUAAUCGGAAUUAUUGGGCGUAAAGCGUGCGCAGGCUGUUUUGUAAGUCAGAUGUGAAAUCCCUGGGCUCAACCUAGGAACUGCGUUUGAAACUACAAGACUAGAAUAUGUCAGAGGGGGGUAGAAUUCCACGUGUAGCAGUGAAAUGCGUAGAGAUGUGGAGGAAUAUCAAUGGCGAAGGCAGCCCCCUGGGAUAAUAUUGACGCUCAUGCACGAAAGCGUGGGGAGCAAACAGG
rnacentral:rRNA from 1 species